UAUUAGGAUGUAUACAGCUCUGUGUUUUCAGAAACGUCUAAAUUCCACCUCUUAAAUAUCUUUUGCAAGUGGAACUUGCAAAAAAGCAGGGCAAGCACUGCUAGCACAGCUUUGCCGCACACUGUCAAAUGCUUAUAAACUCUAUUUAUAGCUACAGUUAAAGAUUCAGACAUGCAAGCGCUCCAUUAAAAGACCACAUUAAUGAGCCCUUAGAGAAAAUAUCUCACAAAGCCUUUUGAGCUUGUAACUGCUCAGUUGUUCAGGGCUUCUUGCUUGUUAACAUUCAUAAAAUAUAAAUACUGUAUACGAAACACCAGCACUUUGUGGAUCACGAUGACUUAUCUCCCCAGCAGCAGUGCAAGGUGUGAGGGGAGAGGCGGCAGCGCUGGUGUGGCCGAGCUCUGCCGCAGGCUGCCAGGCUGCACGGGUCGCUUGCCCUCCACCUCAUCUGGGACCUGCCUUUGCUCUGCAGAGCUGGCUGGAGAUUGACUCGCAGGUCAGUGUCUGUGAGUAUCAUUUCAGAGGGAACAAUCAAACCUAUUAGCUGAGAGUGGCAGAGCUGGGCCUCCUCGCAGCCCCAGCUCCAGAGCGUAGUGAGUAUUUGGAGCAAAAUCUAAUAGAUAAAAAUCACUGGAGAUUUUUUCCUUUUUCCUUCGACAUAAGCUAGCUGAUGAGAAGUGUCGUUUGAAAGAGAAAGAAGUUGCUAUAUUUGAUUUGUCAUUAUUUCCCCAUUGUCCCUUCCUGCCCAUGAUUUUACAGUUCCCAUUUUCUCUCCUUUGCCUCUCACAGAAUUCCAUAUUUUAGGUUGUGACAGAUGCUCUUGCUUGAAUGUUUUUGAUAUGUUUUAUUUGAAACUGUUUUAUCAAGUCUUCAUUGUGUAAACAAAAAUCUCUGGAGCCCAUUUAAGAAUAAUUGUCUGUAACCUUUAAUAUUGCAUUUCCAUCCAUCCACAAGUCACAAAGCACUUGAGCAGUAGAGAAGGCCGUUUCUGUGUUUAUAUCUGGCUCUCAGCAAGCUGCAGAGGCGAAGGCAGGGCAAGAUCAAGUAACUUCUUGGAUGCUAUUUUCUGGCACAUGUUAGCAAGCAGUCCAUGUCCUUGUCUUUGUGUUUUUGGUCCCGUAGCCUUUCAAACAGAAGGUGCUCUCCUGGAAGGAAUAAUUCUGCUCAUAAAAUGAAAAAUAAGGACAGCAGGCUUUAAAAAGCUUCAGGGCAGUUCUUACUGUUCAAAUGUGUCAUUGAUUUCGAUAGUGCAUUAGCAGGCUUGUUAAGCCGGAUUUUAAGUGCUCAGCUUUAUUUUAUGAUGGUGAGUACCUGAUUGUUCAAAAUAUUAGCAUCUUAUUGUAACAGCAAACUGGCUCAUGCCAUAAACUGCCCAGUGCUGAGACUGCUGCGCCAUUACUGAGUGCCUGAUAAAACAGGGUCAUUUGUAAUCAAUUGCUGAUGUAGGAGGGCAGGGCUGUGAUGCUUCAUGCUGCUCUCCUCAUGAAUUUCCCUUAAUCGGCCUUGGUCUGUCUGUUGACAGAGCAUUGCUGUCUGUCCCAUGUCCUGUGCUCAGGCUUCUGCUGAGUUCCUCCCGCUGAGCCCAACUGUGUUUCUGUCCAUCUGUGGGUGAGACUCACACUGGCUGUGCCAAUAACCUGGGAGACAGCAAAAAAAUCCUGUGCCUCAAGGGGUGAAUUGCUACACUGGGAGAUCUGGGUGGACCAACAGAGUCAGUACAUCAGGCACUCACACGGACAUCUCCAUGUCAGGCAAAUCUUUUUGUGACUCCACCCACUGACCAUGCUGACCGACCUCCACUAUCUAAAAGGGGAGCAUGAUCAGAUCCCCAGUUCUCAUGGUCCUGUUCAAACAUGCGACAAAUCCUUGAGGCGUAGAACAACUUUAACAGCAAAGUUCAAAAUUCAGUCCAGGGCACCUGUCUCACGUAUUGUCCCAUGUGUUGUGAGAUAAAUCCUUAGUGGAGCUGUGGGUGAGAAAGCCACCAGGAACAGGCUGCGCCCUGACUUCAGGGGUUUGGUCAAUGAGCAGAGCCUGCAGCCCUAAUCCUUAUCACCUGCAGGCACAGCCAGGGUCGGCUUCUCCUUCGGCCAUUUUGGCGGAGAUAACAUGUGUCUUCCGGGAGCAAGCAGGAGAGCAAAGGCUGGGGAAAGGGUGGAGGGUUGUGGGGGACAUUGGUUUUGUAACCCACCCUCUUUUUGUAUCUGGCUCUGCAGAAGUGGCACUGUGGAGUUUCUGCAGGGGAAGUAUGAGGGUCUGCAGUUCUUUCAGACUUCCAGGAGCAGCUGGCAAUGGAGCAGGGGACUUGGGGCUUACAACAGUGAUUGCUUCUCACAUCCUCUGGGGACUGAGCGUUCAAGAGUGCUUGAGGAGACAGAGCUACCCAACAAUGGGACUCAAAGCAGGUUUCAUACUAAGCUGGUGACUGCCCUUCAAGAAGUGCUGCAGAUCCCCAGUGACACAAGAGAGAACAAGAGCUGGGCCCAGCAAGACUGUCCUGCAUGGCCCAGGUGCCCUCCUGCUGAUGUUCAUAUUUCAGCAUGAUGUGGAAAGUGGGUAAGAUUGAACAUGUUCAUAUUGAAGUUUUGGGUUCCAGCAUUCAUCUGCAGAAGGAGGGAGGCAGAAGAGGAGUAAGUAGGGGGAAAUGGGCAGUCUUAAGGGCAUGUGGAUCUCUAGAAGAAUUUUUGAAGGGAAGAAUGUUCAGAUACAUGGAGGUAGGAGAUUGAAAUAAAAUGCCAGAUUUCACCUUACUGCAGUAGAUUAUGCCAGAUUGACUGAUCUCUUUCUUUGAUUAAAUUGAAUUUUAUGUCCUAGGAAAAGGAAAUGCUUAGUUCUCCUGCUUCGGAAAUGUAGGUGUCUGGUGAAACUGGAUGACCUGAGAAUUAAAAAGGGAAGCCUGAGACAAAAAAUGAUUUGGCCGGUGGGGAAAUUUUUUUUGUAAUUCUGUGUGUAGCUAGCAAGAGAUGAAGGAAUGCAAAACCUACUUUUGUAUGGCUGCAAAGCCACCUAGACCUCUAGACCUUUGCAGUAACAACCUUGUACUUUCAUCAGACCUGGACUGGUCUUGUAGGAGAUCUUUACUCCUAGUGAACCCAGGCAAUAACAUGUCAUGUAAACAUGAGGCCAGUUCUACACUUAAGUAUUACACAAACCUUAUUUUGAAAUACACUUUAGUCCUGAUGGACUUACAUGGCCAAAACCAGCCCAAAUUUCUUAGAACUGAGGCAAUUUUUUACCUCUGAGGGGCUGGGCUUUGUUAAGACAGUCAUGCAUCCUCAACUUACAGAUCUAAAUGCAUUAUAAAACACUGCUCCAUACCAUCUUCCUUUUUUUCCCCUUCCUUUUUUCCUCUCUUCUCAUUAAUUUCAAUCAUGUAAUAAGAAAAGCCCAGUUAUGCUAAUUGGUAUGACUCCUCCUCAAGGGCAUUGUGAAGCAUGAAAUAAUUCCAUUCAUUACUGACAAUGCAGGGACAUGAAUUUUCCCUGGAGGAUCUGUUUCAUCUUGUGAUUUGGUGACCAUACAGAAUGGUGAUCGGAUUAGGGACAUAUUGUUUUAAAAUUAAUUGUUUGUCAGGGAGAAGCUGGAAGAUGGUGGGGAAAGAGGAAGCUUAAAAUGCCAGAGAUUGUUUGACUUCGACGUUCUUGGAGGCUCAUGCAUCUAGUGGGUAUUUAUCAAGCAAACCCAGCUGCUGAGCCAUCAUUUGUCCCAGCUCUAAUUUUCUUUUUAAAAGCCAGCUGAGCUGGUGUUUGAAACAUGCCACAGACCGGCAGAGAGCUAAAUUGAUGUAAAGCUGGUCAGAUUCAUUUCUCCUUUUUUAUUUUUGGGAGUCAGAAUUUCAUUUCCCUAAAAUGCAGUAAGUGUUUGGGCAUGAACUCCCAAGUUGUCCAAAGAUCAUGCUGGAAACAGAGCCACCUUGCUGGGGUAUGUCCUCCCCUCUAACAGGUAGUCCAUAGCCUGCCAAGCAAACACUGCAGUCCUAGAACACAAACAGUGGUGAUUCUUGCUGAGAGGAAAACCAAUCUUUUUUUUUUCUUCUUUUUUUUUCUGUUUGCUGAGCUAGCAAAAAAAGCAUCUAUUUGUUCUUUUGCUGCAUUUGCAACAUUUUCAUUAGCAAAGGGCUGGGUUUUUUUUUUGGAAGUCAGGCUGCUUUUGUGUGAGGAAGUGAACCUCCUGACACUAUGUCAUUUCCCUUGUUUCCAAACAGCUUCUUGUCUGAGCACACAGCCUCCACUUAACAUCUGGCCGUAAAAGAGCAGGGAACUUUCUGCCAGCCAUUCCUCUGCUCUUUCCCUUGCUGUUCUCAGAUGAUGUUAUCAAAUCUUUAGUGCAGCUUUAAUUUUGUUGGAUUAAUGUGCAUGCUUUUGCUUAUUGUUCUUUCCGUGUCCUGGAUAGAUUUACUGGUUUGGUGACAGCCUUCCUUAGCCCUGAAGAGUAGGUCCAAGCCAGCAGUGCCGCACGUUGCAUGGGUGUGUUCAUUAGCUAAGUGCAAAAUACCGACGAGUCAGACACAUAUAUUGUUCCAUCUCUUAGGCAGCCUCUGCUGAGGAUUACUCAUGAAAAAUAAUCAGUAAAAUACGUUGCAGAUGAAGGCUGUGACAGGAGAGAUAACCCUGCCAUUAAAGGCCCCAGAAUGCAAGCUUGUCCCCCUCCCUCACAGAAAUGGAAACAUGGAUACAGUCUUUUAACUGAGUCAAUAGAGAUCGAUGCAAAGGCAAUAACUCAAGAAAUGGAUGCAUUAACCAGAGAGCAAGAACCAAUAUACUCAGAAGUUGAACCAUGGCUCUGGAAUUAGAUGUGCCGAGGGGAUAUGCACCAGGUUACUAAAAGCAAUUGAAAUCAUAAACAAAAGACUGAAACAAAAAUAAUUACAGGAUUUUAUUUUAAUCAUGUCAUAUAGUAGAAACUGAGAUUUAUGAGAGGCAUGGGAGUAAAUUAGCUUCAAGAUCAGGAGUCAACAACAUAUUUGCUCUUUGGGUUAUCUACAAGCCAGCCGUCUGUAACUGAGGAUGUGACUGACUUGAUGGAAAAGGAGCAACAACAGCCAGGGAUCAUGAAGUCACCUUCUCCAGGCUACCCUGUGCUAAGAAGAGCACAGGCCUUCUUAUUGCACAUGAGUAAAGGCUGGGAAUACAUGUUUUGUACUUCUACCCACAUGUUUUCAGAAGGAACAACCCCAAACCAAAAAAUGACAAAACACUGAAACACUUGCAGGUUUGACAAGCAUUUUGGAAUGGUUUGUGCAGUUGGAAGAAUGACAUAAUACCAAGCUAAUAUGCAUGUGAGGGAGCCAAAAUCCCCACUGGAAGAACUGUGGAAAAAAGCACAAAGGGAAGGGGAAAUACCCAGUAAAUGUGGUAUCUGACAAGUGCAGCUGCUGCCACUGUAGGUAUCCUGUGCCUACAACAGAACUGCUAAAAAUAGUGCUUGAUGGGAGUCUAGGCCAGGAUUUGGAGUCAAAUGCUGGCUUUAUGCAGCUCCCACAGUAAUUUCUGGGAAUGUCAGUGUUUAGCCAUGCUGGAAAAACCCCCAGCAGGCCAUAAUCUUGUCUAAAUACAUUCAGUGUGUGAUCUUUUCUGGAUUUUACUUUGUCGAAGAAUAGACUGAAAUCCAAAGUUACCUGGAGUGUGUGCUUGCAUUCCUCAGCCUUGUCAGACUGCUCUUUCCACGCCUUGCCCAUUGCACUGCACUCUCCCGUUGUUUGGGAAGGUGGUGGUGAGCAGGACAGUGGUGCCAGGAUGGACACUGCCUGCAUGCUCUGGGGACCAUGGGGUGCUGCAGGCUGCAGGAAGGAGAGGGAUCCAAGAUAUUUCCUUAACACUGGAGCUGCCUUCUGCUGUGACUGAAAGUAAAGGCUGUGGAGUGCUUUUGAUCCACCUGUCUGCUGGCAGGGAUUGCUGUUCCCAGGGACUGAUAGUGAUCCCAGCUAGGUCCCUGGUGCAGGUAAACUUUAGGAUGUAGUUCCAUCCCUGUGAUUUUUCAGCCCCACUGUUGGGGAUGUCUGGGAGUGUAUGUUUUAUCACUGGGAUACUCUGCAAGAAAACAGAAGGGGUAGAAGCCAAAACACUGAAAUAAGAUUCUAGAGAUGCAACUACACCUUUGAAUACUCACUUUACUGCCACAGAGCAAGGAGGAAAAUCUCAGUAAGAGACACUUGAACUUCUUAAGAAUCAUCUCUUGGCAAUAAUGACCCCUCAUGCAUAUUUAUGUACAGCACUUUGCUUUAUAAUGGACACUUGAAAGACAUUUAAUUAAUUUUUUUUUGCCUAGGAAUGAAGCUAUGUGGAUUGUGGCAAAGGUGUUCCAAAGUCCAAAUAUUAAAAUACAGAAAUGGUCCUGGUAUUUCCUGCUUGCCAGCCCAAAACUAUGUCCUGGGAGUAUACUGCUUAAGAAUUCAUGUACUGGAUGAAAUGAGUAUGUGUUUGCAAGCAUAUAUACAUACCCCUAAGAGUCAGUAAAAGCAGGUAGUUGCUACAGGACUUCAAUCAGGAUUUCCUGGAAGAAUUUCAGAAAGGUCCUAGGGCUUGGUUAGGUCUGUAAAACCUUUUUGUUGCACAGAACUUAAUGUUAUUCAUUAUGCACUGAAAGCAAAAUCAUAUGACUACCAUUUCCUAAGUAACAUAAUUAUCUUAUUGAUUCUUAUGGGGCAAAACACUACUUUUAUUGUUAAUUAAUACUGCUAAAUCUGGUUGUGCAAUUCUGGAUAUAGGAAGUUCAGUUUAAUGUGUGUUUAUGGGGAAAAGUCUAAAAAUAAAUGCUUUAACAUUUUUUUCCUUUCAGAAUGUGAGUAUAGAUAUUCCUUUGUGUGAUCCCUGUUCUUAGCACUACAGGAAAUACAAUCUAUUAUCACUUUUCAUCAGGGAAAAAGAAGCAUAGAUAAUGAAACAGAAAAAUGCCCUGUGAAAAACAUAUUUAAUAAGUUUUAAGUAGCUGAACCAAAAUGCACAGGGCAAAGAAACGUGAUGCUGCUGUUACGGAACCAAAGCUAUUUUAUGGGAAAUGAAAAUAAUACUUGCAUUAUUUCAAGGGCUUAUAGUUUGAUUCUUAUUUUAUAUGAAAAUGUAUCAGGAAAUUCUUCUGCAGGGGGCACACAAAUAGUAUCUUUUCUGUCCCAUGGAAAAGACAGUCAGACUCACUACACUCGAGGACAUAUAACGACUUUGUGAUUCUUUCAGUUCUCAGCCAGUGCUCUAAUGAAAUUCCAGCCUGCUACAUCUGCCAUACUACACUGUUAAUUAGUUUUCUAUUUAUUUAGCAGAUCUAGAAGUGGAAAGCAAUCUAUUGCCAGUGAAUUGUUUGACUUCUAUGCUAAGUAGGCUGCAUUCCAAUCCUCUGAUGUUGAAACUAGCAUGAAUCCAACUUUCAUCUCAUUGCCAUGUCAAAUUAGCACCCAGCAGAUUCUACAUACAAAGACUCUUUUUUUUUUUUUUUCCCCUCAUUCAUUUGUAAAGGACCUUGGAAGAUCUUGGAAGUCAAGAAAACAAAAGCUGAGCAAAUUUUCUCCAAUCUCUCUCCAUCUCCCUUACAUGUUGCAAUGGGUUAAACGUAGAAGGUGUAGAGGCUGUGCUUUGUUUAUAUUGAAAUAGGAAUGUUAUUUUAAGCAGACCAUGUUAACUAUUUGAAAGAAAACAAUACUGAUGCUUAUUCUGCAACUGUUUGAGUAAAAUACUAUCCAGCCUAGGAGAAACCCAGGGUGCCUUGGCAAAGUUCUGAGAUGACUUUUGCACAUGCUUUGCCAUUUUCUAUUUCUGUCUGAAUUCUGUAAUAUAUUGCAGCAUCCAAAUACAACACUGUGUAUGUGACUUACUCCUGUCUUGCAGUGUCAAUAAAGUCACUGGAUUGUGAAAGUAUAAAAUGAAGCCAGAUGGAAUUAGAAAAUAAAUUGGCUAGAAAUGAAGCUAUUAAUCCUGUCGUACUGCAUUGUAGGAGCUACAGUGUGUUAGGGGGAGUGUGAAAAUACAAAGGUACACCCUGGCUUUGGAGUUUGCCUUGCAUUUUAGGGUUUUCUAAAAUCUAGAUACAAACUUGAAUGUGCUUUUUGGGAUCAGGUUGGUUCUAAAGAAACCAGGAUUGUUCAACUGAUAAGCAAAAUGCUGGGCUGAAUUUUAGCAAAGCAUUGACAAAGCUGAUCACCCGCAGUACUGUUAUUUGUGGAGCAUCAUUGAUAAAGUUCUUGUAAUUGUCAAGGUGUUGGUUUUGAGUAAUGUACGAUGUAAAUUAGAGAAAAACAAUAUACAGCACAGGACAGCAACAUAGAAAAUCUGAGUCCAAGAGCACAGUGGUGGUAGUGUUCACAAUAGAAUAGCUCCUUUCAAGAGAGAGGAAAUAAAUCUCUUUUACUAGACCAAGUGAUAUUUUUGAAAAAAAUGUUUUUGAAUUUCAGGUCUGAAACAGAAAUAGUAAACUUUAAGUGCUAGUUGAAAACCAGUCUAUGUGAGUUGAACUUCAUUGUGUUACUUCAUUAGAUAGCUUGAAAUUAAUAUAAGAAAAGUUUUCUAAAAAUUAAAAUGGGAUACUUAGAAAGUUUGAAGCCAGAACUAGGCUCAGACAAGAGUAGAAAUUAGAAGAUAUCUGAAGGAGGCAGCACAGAUGAGAAAGGGAAAAAUGUGCCAAGUUUUAAACUGCAGGAAUGUGUUCUCAACCCAGGACAGAAAACCAGAAAGAGUGAAGACAAGUGAACCCAGCUCUUUUACUGAUUUAAAUUAAUGGCUGUCUUUCUUUCUGCUCUUUGGAGUAGCGGGAUUUUUUUUUUUUUUCAGUGAUAGAUAUUUUCUUGACUUUGUUAUUAUUUCUUUACCAUGUUCCAUGUUCCUCCCUUCCACCUUUAGGGAGAGAAACUUAAAAGACUGGUAAUUCUAACCCUGGGGGGAAAAAAUAGCCCAACAUAGUGAUAUAUUUAAUGGUGACAAGAAUUCCCUAGUGCCUCCUGGAGGCAUCCAUUCCUACAGCUCAGUGUUUCAUCAUGGUAGAAAAAAAAGGAGACAAACUGAAUGAGUCAGAGUAAUUUUCCUAAUUUUUUUUAUGUUGUUUUCCUAUGUUUUUGGCAUAUUCAGAAGGACUGAACAGUACUCCUUAACAAAGCAUGCCAUUAAGUAAAUGUUGCAUGUUUAAUGGUUGGGUUUGAACUUUUGAUAGUCAGGAAAAGGAAAGAAUAUAAGCCAGGAUUUAUUCAUCUUUUCCAGUGUUCACAGAGCUGAAUGGACUGAAAGAAGUAGCUGAAGCUAGAGGCAGAAAUCUGAAAGCUAAAAUUCUGCUAAUGAAGAUCUGUGAUGUAUAAGCAUGUCUUCCAAUGAUUAGGAAUAAAUCCAUGAAUUUCAGGAGCCUUGAAUAUACCUGGUCUGCAGUUUUUCCAAAUGGAUAAUUAUCUGCAUAAAUAUACUAAACAGUUGCCAGAAAAACUCAUGCUUAUUAUGAACUGCUCAUAAUCUUCCUGUAAGUUGCCAGAGCUGAAUCUCAGCCAAAACUCCCCUUGUUUCUACUCAGAUGGGAAAAUUUGGUUUUAUCAUAUCUGUCCCUGAGUUCUUGGUGUGCGUGAUAUGGUACACCCCCUCUUACUGGUUGCUUCUGCCCCAGUUCAGAGGGGGGCAGAGAGCUCAUCCUGCAAAAAGCUGCUGCAGCACUUCUCUUUUGAUCAAGUUGUGUCUUAUUUUCCACAGCAAUAUAAGAAAAGGAGUUUGUCUAAACUCCCAUAUGCAACUAACAGAUGCUUGUGAGCAUGGAUGUUGUAUAAUCAAUGAAUGAUAACUUACAAAAUCUUUAAACUUGCAGAAAGAAUUCAGAAUUUCAGCAAAUUUCUGUCUUGUCUGGCUGCUCGUUAUAGGGAAAAAAGCCAGUUGUGCAUAAACCCCAUCUGUUCUUAGUAAUGUUCUGGAGUAAUGUAUGUGAUUGGGAGGGAUAUUGGAGCAAUGCUGUUGGAAAACCAGAGAAACUGAAUAUGGGAUUGGGAUUCCAUUUGAUUCACAUUUGAUGCUGCAAUAAUAAGCAAUUCAACUUUUUGCAAAAUUAUUGGCAGAAAAAUUAAGUGUAAUGUACGCCUUGAAAGAAAUGUUCUAAGUUAUUUAAAUUAUGCCUUCAUUUUGCAAUGCUGUGUAAUAUGUUUAUACAAACUACAGCUCUAAUCCUUGCUUAUGUAGAUGCUGCACUGAAUUCCUUCUCUCAGUAUUCAGUAGAGCAAGAUACAGACUUUACUGAAUAGUGGAAUGAAAGACUGAGAGUGAAGGUGUCAUUUCAUAACAUGACUGACUGACAACUCAGUUUAAUUGUUCUUCUGGUCUGUGAUACACAGACAGAGAAUUUUGCAACAUUUUGUAAGAUUUAGUUGAGAAACACCCAACAUAUAAGUCAAGACAGUAAAAUGUAAUUUUAAUUGUAGGAAAGAUAAAAAAAGUAUUUGUGGAAGGACAACACAAUAUUUUUAUGCAUUUCUCCUAAUUUGUACUCCUUCCUUUUCCACUAAGUAUACUCUGUAGUAGAGGUAGCUGGGGUAAGCUAUGGACUUAAAUUUUUGGUGUGCUACAACGCAGCAGCCAGCAGGAUGUAUUACUCUAACAGACAGAAAGAGUAACCCCAGAAACCUCUACAUUUCUUUGGGUCUGAUGCAAUUUUACAGAGCUGCAAAACAACUCUGGUGAAAUCGUGUUUAUGCCUGAAGACUCAAAUGGAUCGGAGGGACAGCAGAGAGAAGAUGGGGGAGGAGAGGAAGCACUGAACUCUACUUUCCACAAAAUAAGGCCUCUGGAAAUAAGAUGGUGCCAAAAUCUCUGCACUUGUGCUUAAAAGGUCCUUUCUAGUUUAGGCAAGAAAGAUCCUUGUCCCGACAAGCUUACAGGCUAAUUGAAACCUUUAUGUGUCUGCACAACACAACAAAAUAGAAAGUCGAAAUACUCUAACAUAGUUUGUGUCAAAAUAUACACUUUGGUUGGACCAGCCACGAGAAAAGGGUGGAUAUUAAUGUGGAAUAAGGUGCCAUGUGGCACAUGGAAGCCAACUGAACGGCUCAGGGAGAGCAGCUCCACAGGACAAGCCUGGGUAAUUAGGCAGGAAAGAAAUGAUGCAGAAAGCUUAGAAAGUCAGGACUUGUGAGACAUAUGGCAAGAACAGCAAACUGAAUAGACUUAAUUGUCUGCAUUAUGUGUUUGAAGUUGGAGUAGCAGGUGAAAGGAGUAAGGAAGAUGUGGCCACCUGAGAGACUUUGAAGAUAUCAUCUGUAACUUAGAGGCAGAAGGAAGGUGAACUGUGAAGAAGUACUAAAUUCAAUUUAAGAAAAGCUAUGGAUAUCUAUUUUGGAGGAAAGCUGAGCCCACUGAUACUCAGGAAACCAUUCUGAGAAAAUCAAUAUCGGUACGGAUGCAGGUCAGCACUUGUUGAUAUUGGAAGCCGUUUGCCUGAAGAACAACCAUGAGCCUCUUGAUGAUUUGUGAAGAAAUCUGGAGAUGAUUUGUGUAAGAGGAAGGAAUGAUGCUCUGUUUUAUUCUACCAGCAUCUCACAGCCUUUCUGCUAGGACACUUAAAGCCCUACUGGAGUUCUGUGGCCAGGGAGUUAGGAUUUUGCAUUGGGACCCAAAGUCUGGAUCUGUUGUGGGACUGUGACCAAGAAAGUGAGGAAUGGCUGAAGCAAAACCUCUGAAGGCAUAAGAUCACCAGGCAGGCCCAUGGUCUUGCCUUUAAGAAUGCACAGAAAGCAUUGGUGCUGUAUUUUCACAGUGAGAUGCAGCUGAUGGCUCAACAGUUUGCAAUGGCUACUCCAGACAUCCAAGAGGUGUAGAACACAUCUGUACAGAGCAGGCAAAUGCCAUGAAAAAACUAUGAGACUAAAGUGAACUUCUGGAGAUUCAAGUGGAAUACCAUAAGGCAAGUGAAUCCUAUCCUUUCUUGUGCUUAUGAACUUGUAACAGUGACUCAAUAGGACCAAGCAAUGAAUUCAUUCUAAACAAUAAUCAGAUCCAGUAUUGGCUAUAUGGGAUGAUAGCAUCUUGUAUAAAGUGACUGCAGCUCAAAAUGGGCCAGACCUCCUAGAUAAGCAAACAACCCAGCAAUGUCCACCUUUUGGCUCUGAGCCCAAGAGUCAUGUUUUACUGAUUGUUAUGAUUUGGCCUUUGAGCUCUGGUGACAGUCAAACAGGGACUUACAAUGCACCAGCCUACAAAUUCCAACAAAGACAGCAUGAGAUCUGGGAUGCUUCCUGUUUCUAUAAGGAAAUUCUGAAUUUAUCUGAGUGCUUAAGUAAUAAUUCUCCGUGCUUUUAUGUCUUUCAUCCAAGCAACUUGAAAUAUUUGACUACAAAGUGUUUCAUAGCUUCUGAAGAGUAAGAAACAGUGAAAUGGGUUCCAGGGCAUAUGAUAAUUCAAAUAUAUGUGGCUAGUAUAUUCCAGGAAAAAUCUCCCACACUCAACAGAAAGACUGUGGGUAGGAGGAACAAAUGAGAGACAAUGAGUCAUCCACAAUCAAAACAGAGUUUAGGCUUCCUAAAGUGAAAAAGAACCAUUAGAAAACAUUAAGAAAUUGAACACUGUAGUUUCCUUUUAGAGAAAAGGCACAAAUAGCAAUGGACAGAUAAAAAAGAGCCUCUGAGAACACUACAGCAUGGAAGCACAAUGGUCUUUGUGUGAGUAAUCAACAACCACUGUAGCACUGCUCUGUCCUUUGCUUCGGAUGAACACUGUUGAGCAACUCUGUCUCAUCUCCAGAAGCUUUCAACACUCGUACUGCUUAGUCCCUUUCUUUUCUCAGAGCUUUGUAGCUCCACAUAUUUCUCUUCACCAUUAAAACAAGGAUUUACAUUUAAUAAAGACUUGGAAAAUAUAAAGAAUUUUCAGCAGGUAGAAAAAGAAGACUUCUAGUAAAAAAAAAACAACAAAACAAACUUGGGCCUUUUCAGACUGAUUAAUUACAUUUUCUUAGAAGGCCAAGCAAUACAAAUGUUUCUUGCUCAUUACUGCAGUUUUAAAAAAGGCUGGGGUUUUCUUAUAAUUUGUUUAGAUGGUUUGUGUCCAGUUAAAUAUAUGGUCCUUUUGUAAGAAGCACUGCUCUGUAAGUACUGAACAUUAAGAACCAUAUGCAACACAUCACUAGCAAUCCCACAGUGUAAGUCAAUAUACAUAUGCAUUCACAUUUCACACAUUAAAAGGAAAAGUUAAAUUAAUGCUUCAGCUGAAUUUUAAAUUCUGUUUUAAUCAUAAUUGAGAAGAAUGGCUAAUUUAAAUCUAUUUACAAAGUUAAGAUUGAAAACAUUCAUAUUUCACAGUAACCAAUACAUCUGGUAUUUUACCAAAACAUGGUGCACCUGAAAAACAAAACUUACCUGUUUUUUUAGCUGUCAGCUCUUUGCCACUGUGGUGGCCAAAAUAAAUCCGCAAAUUUCCCAGAUAUGAACUAGUUUUUUUUUAAUCCUAUUGUUUAGGUGAAAACACUUCUCACUAUGGUGAAAAGUAAAAAUACUGGUUAUGUAUCUUUCACAUAAGUAUGUCUUUCAACACUGUAUUUUUAGCUACAGGUAGCAAAUUUUAAAAAUCUGCUGAGGGCACUACUGUAGUUGAGAUGACUGCAUCAAUUAAAAUACAGAAUGUUAUCCUGGACAGUUUUAAACUUAGGCGUGUAGUUCAAAACAAACAGAAGGUAAAAAACCCCAAAUAUGUCUAAAAUAAUGGACUCUCAAUAUUCCUAAUUUCCAGAUAGGAUAAUACUGUAAUUUUUUAAACUUGAAUGUGCAUUAGCUGGACUUCCACUGGCAGGUAUUAUAUUUAGCAAUGGUCAGUUCAGUGUCCCAUAGAUCUGGGCAGCAUUUACAGUAAUACACACUCACUGCUACUCCCACUUUGCAGUGUGGGGCAUGGGCUGGCUACCAAAAGGGACAGGCCAGAAGCCACUUGAAAUUCCUCCCGACCUGAGCACAGAGCUACACAGCUAAGGUAAUAAUUUUGUAACAGAAAUGGAAAAGUGUCAUAUCCUAGCACACUAACUGAAGCCAUGGGGUUAGAAACACUGGGAAAACACUGCGUGGUGUAUAUCAAGAAAUUAGUUGGCUUCUUUUAUUGAUUUAGGAAGAGCAUCAAUUACUGAUAAUCCACCUUUAAAAUGCAGUAAAACAAUGCAAGUGUUUAUAAAUGAUAAGGUGUAGGAAUGUUAUGAGCUUAGAGGCAAAACACACCUUAAAAAUACAAGAUUCAAUUAUGUUCUGUAAAUAGUGUUGCCCCCCGCCCCCACUUUUAAGUGCUGCUAUGAAAGAUAAAGUGGAUAAAUUUGAUGUUUACAAUGCAGUACCUCAAUUUAGUUUUCUCUCUGUAACUGGUAGCUUUUUUUUGUUUCUAUGCCUUGUCAGAUUGCUUUUCCUUUCCUCCUCCUAACCAUCUUCUCAACAAUGCUGCAAUAAAACUGACAUACCCGAGACCUCAUUUUCAUCUCCUACUGGACAGUGAGAAAUGAAACCCAACUGAACUUUGUUUUUAAUGCACAGAGAUUUCUCAAGAGCACAGCAGAAGCACCACUCUCUCUAGACAGACACACCUUUUCUUCUUGCUAGAAGGCUAUCUUUUCUAGAAAAAUGUCUGCCUAGCACUUGAAGAAACUGCAUGUACAGCCAUUGGAAACCCAUGGAAUUUAUCUACUCAAAAGUGCAAUCUCAUAGGCAGUAAUUCUGUGAUAAUCUUGAACACAGCUGUAAUACACUCAACUAUAUAUUUAUUUACAUCUUUUUUGUGCUUAACUCUCUGGCAGGUAGAUAAGGUGAAGCCUAAUACAGAGGUACUGCUGCCCUCCCCAACUACUGAGAGUUACACAAAAUGCUUAGUAUUUUAUCAAGCAGAAUUUAGUCCCCUCCAUCCUGUCCAUGUAACAGUGUCCUGUAACAGUGACUUAAGGUAUAUGAAACACACACCUUAUCAAGAAAGCUGACAGGUACAAGAUUUAGGUCAAAAGUGGAAAAAAACUUUUGUUUCACUUAGUGUUGUCUUUUCUCCCCAGAUUAAUGACUGCAUAAUUAAUAUACAACCACAGGAACAACGAGAAUGUAGCUCUUCCUACUCUUGUGUAAGUGGACGAAUCAUAAAGGUAUCUCUUCUGGUUCCUUUAUUCCAGACUGAGGAAGAGCCAGUUCUACCAGGAGCUGAUAUUGUGGCUUACUACACCCUUCUUCACAGUUGUUGUACAGCUCAAGUAGUAAGAGAUACAAAUCUGAAUUCUUCCAGACUAAGAUGUGCUUAAAACCUUCAUCUUUCAGCUCUUCAGCAAUCACAUAACAACCCUACUGGACAAAUACAGGCAUUAUCUCUUCCAGGAUUACGCAGAAUACAUGGACAUGUCCCUUUUGAAGACUACAUCAUCAGCUUACUACUUUGAAUGACACACUACUAUAGCUUCUGCUUGGAAUGUUACCCAUCAGUUUGCUUUAAUGUCAAGGGAAAUAUGUUUUUGUUGUCAAACACAGCACAGAACUUUCAUGUAAUUGGUCUUUGAGAUUUUUAGUUUGGCUCUAGACCUUACUCUGUUAAGGCAUUCAUCACUUUGCAAAGAUAAAUGUAUUUCAGAUAUUCAUCUGUUUUGGGGCAUGUUUGAUUACAGUAGCUAUACUCUGUACACCAUGAAUGAUUCCAUACUGAAUCACACACACAAUAUAUUUUUUUCAAGCGACUGUAAUGGGUGAGUGAAGAAUUGCUUCUUUCCCUAAAGAAGAGUAGUACAGCAUAUUAACACCUUCCUGUUACAGACAGCAUCACAGAGGGCUGAUGACAUCCAACAGCCUAUGCUUAUGAUUUGGCCAACAGAGACACUGGAAGUAAUAGCCAACACUUUUGAAAGAGCAUGCUUCCCAGUAGUCAUUAGCCUUUGCCUCUAUUUCCAAAGGUGUUAUCAGCUGUGAACAUUAUAGCAGUAAUUGAAUUUGCUUUUUAUGAUCAUUGCAGGCCUUUACUGUAAUACACAGAGGCUACUGCUGGCAUUAUCAUAAUUCUUCUAACUUUGAGAUUAGAUUAAUGCAAUAAAACUUCACCUUAAAAGAGAAACUUGGAGAGUACUACAGGUUACAUGAUACAAGAAGGGCUACCUAGAUGAAAACAUAGCUGAAGAUAGGAAUUUCUGCUUGUGUCUACAGAGAAAUUGAGACAUUGAGUAGUUACUAAAAGAACCUUACAAGACCACAAGACCUGGUUAUCUUGAACAGACUAAGCAACCUCUACCUCCCUGCCCCCUUCCCUGAUAUCAACACCACACAACCUCUCCCCCAUAUCCACAGAACCUGUUUACCCAGGCCUGUACCAUGUCCUCCCCGCAGCCUUCCUUCCCCAUGGGAAAGCUGUAAAAUUAGGAGAGUGCAAAAGGAUUUCUACUGUUUUAAUAGAUCAGGCUAUAGUCAUGCCAGUCUUGAUGGCAGCUAUGCCUUCUCACAGCUCUUUAACCUGAAUUAAUUCAACUUUAUUCUCCCAGGAAUUCUUAAAACACCCUUUUAUACAAUGUGGGAGUGUGGGAAUGUAAAGGGAGAGAGCAGAACAUAAGGUAUGCUGAGAGGGCUUUCAGGUAGCAUUUUUGGCUUUUGCUGUAUACUUGCUAAAGAAAGAUACCAUGUUGAUUUGCCUAUCUGAAACCAAUGAUGAGGUAUUAAAACAUUCCGCUUUUCCAAGGGCUUUUUUCUAAAGACUUAAUUCAGAGUUUUGAAGCAUCUAUGGAAAAAAAUCAAGGACAAGAAUUUUCCUGUCAUUUAUACCUAAUUAAACAGGCAGCUACAUCACAUAGCUUUGCCUCAAUUUCUGUACUGUUCUGAGGAAAUAAUUCAGCUUAACAAUGUGAGCAAACUAGAGCUUGAAUUUUGCAUUGCACUGGCAUGAGUGAUUCCACAAGUGUUGGUGUGCACCCAUCUCAGUUUUCACUGAAUAAGCACAAAAUAUCUCAGGACAAACUAUAUUGUUCCCAUUAGUAGAUUACUGGUGUUACUGCACAACAACCUGUGCUGGUAUUUCUUACCUUGUAUUGUCUGCUUACAUUUGAGCACUGGAAACUCUUUAUGUGCAGGAAGCAAUAAUGAAGUGGUAUGGGAACAGCUGCACCAAAUCUGCUAAAAAGUCUCCAUAUGCUAUCUUUACUGUGAGAAUCAUCAGUCCAGAACAAUUAUUCUAACAUCAUCUACGUUCACCUAAUUUUAAGAGGAAAGCUUGCUGUUCAGCAGAUACCCUUAAUCAAAUGGAAGGAUUCGACAGCAUGGUUUGUCAGGGUUAAAAAGAGCCUUGACUCACCAGCUAAAAAUUAGCAAGCAAAGGGCUACAAAAAUGCUUAAUUGUCCAGACUGGUCUACAAGAAAUAAAAGGAUGGCAAUUUUGUUAAGCAGGUAAAGUUGUAUUUUAGCUUGUCACAAUCUUAAGACAAGAUCAGAAUAGAGCAAACACAAUAAUGUUACUUAAAUAGAAACCGCAUUGUUUUGUCAUCCAUAAGCAUACUGCAGUGUGCUGUGGGCAAGCUAUUGAUGAACUAAGAAUCUAUAUUUAAAAUAAUGGUUUGUAACACUGUUAUUCUUUGAUAACAAAGAUAGUAUUUUCUUACUGAAUAUACAAUUUUUUAAGGAUGUAAGCAGUAAGACCAACUUACCUUACAUAAGCCAUUAAUUUCUACUAAUGUAAACAAAACCCUGAAACGACAUAAAAACUCCAAUGUCCAAAUAACGAAUUCUGUCUACCUGCUUUAAGGGGAAAUAUACAAUGAACACUGGACAUAAUGCAAUAAUCCAAGGCAUUCUUACUGUUAUGAGAACUACGCAUUCUCUCUAUUUUUGUCAAUGCACAUCUUUCAGGAAAAGCAGAGUUAACACUGCUUGACAAUACCCAGUGACACUGUACACCUGUCAAGAUGACGUGUGUCUGUUUCUUUUCAGUUUAGGAAGCAUUGUUCAUUGUCAUUAACCUAACAUCGAAAGUAUCUUCAAAUACUAUGCAGUACGUAUUGAAACGCAUUCGAAUUUUUUACAGAUUUCAAGCAAUAGGUAGACUUUAUACCUAGACCUAUGAAAUAUGACUGUUUUCAGCGAGCUACGUGAAGAAUGCAGCGAUAUUUAUCCAGCUUUGUUACUAAAGCUCUGCCAAGCUACCGCGAACUGCCUCAAAGCUUCCUGACAGCCUUUUAAGUGCUAAACACCAAGUGAGAGCACCGAGUAGCUGCGUGGGGAAGGAGGAAUACGUACAAGCAACCGCGUCGCGCUGCUUUGC